rnacentral:rRNA from 1 species
GAUGAACGCUGGCGGCGUGCCUAAUACAUGCCAGUCGAGCGAACAGACGAGGAGCUUGCUCCUCUGACGUUAGCGGCGGACGGGUGAGUAACACGUGGAUACCCUACCUAUAAGACUGGGAUAACUUCGGGAAACCGGAGCUAAUACCGGAUAAUAUAUUGAACCGCAUGGUUCAAUAGUGAAAGACGGUUUUGCUGUCACUUAUAGAUGGAUCCGCGCCGCAUUAGCUAGUUGGUAAGGUAACGGCUUACCAAGGCAACGAUGCGUAGCCGACCUGAGAGGGUGAUCGGCCACACUGGAACUGAGACACGGUCCAGACUCCUACGGGAGGCAGCAGUAGGGAAUCUUCCGCAAUGGGCGAAAGCCUGACGGAGCAACGCCGCGUGAGUGAUGAAGGUCUUCGGAUCGUAAAACUCUGUUAUUAGGGAAGAACAAAUGUGUAAGUAACUAUGCACGUCUUGACGGUACCUAAUCAGAAAGCCACGGCUAACUACGUG